UAUGAAAGGGUUUGUUUACGUGAGUACCUGGGCUCUUCAUAGAUUCAUAGAGUUGGAAACGACCCCAAAGGCCAUCCAGUCCAACCCAUUCUGCUAUUUAGGAAUACACAAUUAAAGCUCUCUUGAAAGAUGUCCAUCCAACGUCUGUUUAAAACCUUCCAGAAAUGGAGACUCCGCCAUACUCCCAGGCAGCUUAUUCUACGGUUCAAACAGCUCCUAUUAUCAGGAUGUUUUUUCAUAAAAUUUGGGUGGAAUCUCUUCUAUAGUUUGACUCCAUCACUCCUAGUCCUGGUCUCGGGUAGUAUAAACAAGCUUGCCCCAUCUUCCAUAUGGCAUUGUUAAAAGGGAACUUUGGCCUAGUGCAAACCAGAUUUGCAGUAUUUCAAUUACAACAUCUUUUGAAAUGUGUGCCCUUUCACCAAUGCCUACUAUACUUCUGACAUGUGGAAAUAAAUUAAAUUUAGAUAUUGAGAAUGUAGGCAGUGGAGUGUUGCAGUCCUCAUUUCCACUCCAUAUUACAAUGUCCCAGGUAUCUUUCUAAAAUCAUAAAGAGCCACCUCCCAAUGUGAAAUUAGGAGAAGAUUCACUUUCCUAUGGAUUGAUAAGUACUAACUGGCUGCGCAGAUGGCAUAAACAGAGCACCGAAUCUAACUUUUUUCCCCGUUUCGGGUCAUGUGGCUCCUCAUUAUGGCAGAAAGAUAGUGUAUCUUGUUCAUUGGGUUUACCAAUUUCUUAUGGUCAGAUUGUAAGCUUUCAGGUGCCAGAAUAUACUUCAAUGGGUGAUUGCUUUCAUAUUAUUUCCAAUAGGCAUUUGGUAGAUAGUAUUUUUUAAAAAAAUAAAUAGUAACAUGUUUUGUCAUCUGCGUUGUUCCAUGCAAUGAUGACAUGUUACCAGGAGUUUGAAGGGUAAUGCUUGCUUGGCUCUAAAAGACGCUGUGGUUGUUUAUGAAAAGCUCAACCAUAGCAACUGUGAACAACAAAGAGAAUUCAACUGUGAACUUAUCCCAGCCGAUCAGUGCUGUGAAACCUGUAUCAAGGGUGAGGAUAACUCUUCCAGCAACUUAAUUCUGCAUUUUACCAAUUGCUGUUCUGGCAUGUUUUUGGAUUUGUCAGACUAUAAUUUCUAUCUUCUCCAGAAGCCAUGCUGGUUGCAUCAUAGAAGAUUAGUCUGGCACAUCUGGAGGGAACUAGUUUCUGCAUAGCUUUUCUACUGAGAGCCAACAGUUCUGUUUUUUAACAGAUUUUUCCUGUCUCUGCACUGAGAGGCAAAUUAUGAUGAGGAAAACCGACAGAAGGUUGCAUCUUCGCUCAGCCACAGAAUGAACUGGAAUUUGCACUCGACAAUUCAAAAGGAAAAGGUUGAUUUUGCACUUUCGGCAUCCUUAAACCCACUCCAAGCAUAUUUGAAAGGCAGUGACUUUUAUCCUUGGAAGGCACUCAAUAAGGAGAUGCACUAAGGAGAUGGAGGCACACAGCACCGCUGCCACUCUGCACCCAGUUGCUGUAAUAACGCCAGGUUUUUCUCCUUCAGAAGCAACUGACAGGCACAGUUUCAUUCAGCACUGAUUUGCCUCUAUGUAUUGAAAUCCCCCCCCCCCUCCCUGAAGUUGUCUGGGUUGCAAAACAGUAGGAAAACAGCAGCUGCUCAUCUUUGGCGGUAGAAGAUUAUGGUGGCGGCUGAGUACUACUAGCAAAAGCAAAGGCAUCAGCAGCAGCAGCAGCGGUGACUGAAACAGCAGCAGCAGCUGAACAGGAUGCAUUUUUCACUGGAAAUCAUCAGCAUCUGAAAGUGCAGCCGGAAGACUUGGCAGCUCAGCAGGAAUCAGCAGCCUUUGGAAGGAAGAAAACUGGGAAAGGCAAGGGACGUGGAGGUGGGGUUAGCACCAGUUUUUCCCUCUUCUGAGGAGGGGGGGUUUGAUUAUCAUGGCGGAUCGGACAGCUCCUAGAUGCCAGCUCCGUCUGGAGUGGGUCUAUGGCUACAGGGGUCACCAGUGCCGCAACAACCUGUACUACACAGCAGGCAAGGAAGUGGUUUACUUUGUGGCUGGAGUCGGAGUGGUUUACAACACCAGGGAGCACAGCCAGAAAUUUUUCCUGGGGCACAACGAUGACAUUAUCAGCUUGGCUCUACACCCUGAUAAAACCCUGGUUGCUACAGGUCAAGUUGGGAAAGAUCCUUACAUUUGCAUCUGGGAUUCCUACAAUGUGCAGACGGUUUCCAUUUUGAAGGAUGCGCACACCCAUGGAGUUGCCUGCUUGGCUUUUGAUUCAGAUGGCCAGCGUUUAGCUUCAGUGGGACUGGAUGCCAAAAACACAGUUUGCAUAUGGGACUGGAAGAAAGGAAAACUACUGGCGUCAGCUACUGGCCAUUCGGAUAGGAUUUUUGAUAUUUCCUGGGAUCCAUACCAACCCAACAGAGUGGCUAGCUGUGGUGUGAAACAUAUCAAGUUUUGGACACUGUGUGGAAAUGCCUUGACUGCCAAGAGAGGAAUAUUUGGGAAAACAGGAGACCUGCAAACUAUCCUCUGUUUGUCUUGUGCGAAAGAUGACGUUACAUACUCUGGUGCUUUAAAUGGGGACAUCUAUGUCUGGAAAGGACUCACCUUAGUACGAACAAUUCAAGGUGCUCAUGGUGCUGGGAUUUUUAGCAUGUAUGCUUGUGAGGAAGGCUUUGCCACGGGUGGGAGAGACGGCUGUAUUCGCCUGUGGGAUGUGGAUUUCAAGUCAAUCACUAAAAUCGAUCUCAGGGAAACUGAGCAAGGAUACAAAGGAUUGUCUAUCCGAAGUGUGUGCUGGAAAGCAGAUCGGCUUUUAGCAGGGACACAGGACAGUGAAAUCUUUGAGGUGAUUGUGAGAGAAAGAGAUAAGCCAAUGCUAAUAAUGCAAGGUCACUGUGAAGGAGAGCUGUGGGCUCUGGCGGUACAUCCCAAGAAGCCAUUGGUUGUUACUGGCAGCGAUGAUCGAUCUGUACGUUUAUGGAGCCUUGCUGAUCACGCAUUGAUUGCUCGCUGCAAUAUGGAGGAAGCUGUGCGGAGUGUAUCUUUCAGCCCUGAUGGAUCACAGUUGGCACUGGGAAUGAAAGACGGCUCUUUCAUUGUUCUGAGAGUAAGAGAUAUGACAGAGGUAGUUCAUAUCAAAGAUCGGAAGGAAGUAAUUCAUGAAAUGAAAUUUUCACCAGAUGGCUGCUACCUUGCAGUGGGUUCCAAUGAUGGUCCAGUGGAUAUCUAUGCAGUUGCUCAACGGUAUAAGAAAACGGGAGAAUGUAACAAGUCUUCGAGUUUUAUCACUCACAUUGACUGGUCUUUGGACAGUAAAUUCCUGCAAACGAAUGACGGUGCAGGAGAACGUUUCUUCUACAGGAUGCCGUCUGGGAAACAUGUAAUAAGCAAAGAUGAGAUCAAAGGGCUUCAUUGGGCUUCAUGGACCUGUGUGGUAGGAUCGGAAGUGAAUGGAAUCUGGCCCAAGUACAGUAAUAUUAUAGACAUCAACUCUGUGGAUGGAAAUUAUAAUAAUACAGUGAUGGUGGCUGGAGAUGAUUUUGGAUUAGUUAAAUUGUUCAGAUUUCCUUGCCUAAAGAAAGGAGCUAAAUUUAGAAAAUACGUUGGACAUUCUGCACAUGUUACUAACGUUCGUUGGUCCCAUGACUUUCAAUGGGUAAUAAGUACUGGAGGUGCUGAUCACUCCGUUUUUCAGUGGCGAUUUAUUCCAGAAGGUAUAACAAAUGGGAUCAUUGAAACAGCACCCCAAGAAAGUGGCAUAGAUUCACACAGUGAAGAAUCAGAUUCUGAUUUAUCUGAUGUGCCAGAGUUAGACUCAGAUAUUGAACAAGAAUCUCAAAUCAACUACACUCGACAGGUUUACAAAGAAGAUCUACCUCAGCUGAAACAGCAAAGCAAAGAGAAAAACCAUUCAGUGCCCUUCCUUAAAAGAGAGCGAGCUCCCGAGGACAGUUUAAAGCUGCAAUUUAUACAUGGUUAUAGAGGCUAUGACUGUCGAAACAAUUUAUUCUACACACAAACUGGGGAAGUGGUUUACCAUAUUGCUGCUGUUGCUGUUGUGUAUAGUAGACAACAACACACCCAAAGACUGUAUCUUGGUCAUGAUGACGAUAUCCUCAGCUUAGCCAUCCAUCCUGUGAAAGAUUUUGUUGCUACUGGACAAGUUGGGAGGGAUGCCGCUAUACACAUUUGGGAUACCCAGACACUCAAAUGUUUAUCACUGCUAAAAGGCCAACACCAAAGAGGAGUGUGUGCACUGGAUUUUUCAGCUGAUGGUAAAUGUUUGGCAUCGAUUGGAUUAGAUGAUAACCAUACAAUUGUACUCUGGGACUGGAAAAAAGGGGAGAAGAUGGCAGCAACAAAGGGUCACAAAGAUAAGAUAUUUGUAGUGAAAUGCAACCCUCAUCAUGCAGAUAAGCUCGUGACAGUUGGGAUGAAGCACAUCAAAUUUUGGCAACAAGCAGGUGGUGGUUUUACCUCCAAGCGUGGUAUGUUUGGAAAUAUUGGGAAACAGGAAACCAUGAUGAGUGUUUCCUAUGGACGAAUAGAGGACCUGGCUUUCUCUGGAUCUGCAACAGGAGAUAUUUAUAUUUGGAAAGAUAUUUUGUUGCUUAAGACAGUGAAGGCUCACGAUGGACCUGUAUUUGCAAUGCAUGCCUUAGAUAAGGGCUUUGUGACGGGUGGAAAGGAUGGUGUGGUGGCACUUUGGGAUGAUACGUUUGAGAGAUGCUUGAAGACGUAUGCCAUUAAAAGGGCAGCGCUAUCACCUGGCUCUAAAGGGUUGCUUUUGGAAGACAACCCAUCCAUCCGUGCCAUCACUUUAGGACAUGGGCAUAUUCUGGUCGGAACAAAAAACGGUGAAAUUCUUGAAAUUGAUAAAAGUGGUCCCAUGACUUUACUUGUGCAGGGUCAUAUGGAAGGAGAGGUCUGGGGCCUGGCAGCUCAUCCGCUCUUGCCCAUCUGUGCAACAGUGAGUGAUGAUAAAACUCUGCGGAUCUGGGAACUUUCUGCCCAGCAUCGUAUGUUGGCUGUAAGAAAGCUUAAGAAAGGUGGAAGAUGCUGUGCCUUCUCCCCUGAUGGGAAAGCCUUGGCUGUAGGAUUGAACGAUGGGAGUUUUCUGGUAGUGAAUGCUGAUACUGUGGAAGAUAUGCUCUCUUUCCAUCACAGAAAAGAAAUGAUCUCUGACAUCAAAUUUUCUCGAGAUUCAGGAAAGUACCUGGCAGUGGCUUCCCAUGACAAUUUUGUAGAUAUUUACAAUGUGCUUACCAGCAAAAGAGUUGGCAUUUGCAAAGGAGCAUCCAGUUACAUCACCCACAUUGACUGGGAUUCAAGAGGAAAGCUAUUGCAAGUCAAUUCUGGUGCCAAAGAACAAUUAUUUUUUGAAGCGCCAAGAGGAAAGAGGCAUAUAAUAAGGCCCACUGAGAUUGAGAAGAUUGAAUGGGGCACCUGGACAUGUGUCCUUGGUCCUACCUGUGAAGGAAUUUGGCCAAUGCACAGUGAUGUCACUGUCAUCAACGCAGCUUCUCUUACCAAAGACAGCACUCUCUUAGCUACAGGAGAUGACUUUGGGUUUGUAAAGCUCUUCAGAUAUCCCGUAAAGGGUCAGCAUGCCAAGUUCAAGAAGUAUGUGGGCCACAGUGCCCAUGUCACCAAUGUCCGCUGGUUACAUAAUGAUUCUGUGCUUUUGACAGUGGGUGGAGCUGACACUGCUCUGAUGAUCUGGACUCGAGAAUUUGUAGGAACUCAAGAAAGCAAGCUGGUUGACAGCGAGGAGUCAGAUACUGAUGCAGAAGAAGAUGGAGGUUAUGAUAGUGAUGUUGCACGAGAAAAAGCGAUUGACUACACCACAAAAAUCUAUGCAGUGAGCAUCCGAGAAAUGGAGGGCACUAAGCCCCACCAGCAACUGAAGGAGGUUUCCGUGGAAGAAAGGAGUGGGGCGCCCAUCAAAGGAGCUGCAGGAACAGUCUCGCGGUGUGGGAGUCCUAAGAGAAGUGCUCCCACACCACGGGGCCAUGUGGUCAGUGGUGGGACUGUCCCGGACAAUCCAGGACCAUUGUAAGCCAUACGGUCUUAUACUUGGGACAAUGUGAAUGUGUUGUGUCUUGGGUUACAGAAAGAUCUUUUUGCUCUGAAACUGAAUCGCUUUAACCGAGCAGGCAAGAAUGCUGAUGACUCUCCCAGUGUCUUUUAUGUUACUAAUAUGUUUGGCACUUCAGGGGCUGCAUUUUGCCAUUUACUAACAUCUGGUCUGUAUUUACUGUUUGCAGCAUCUGUCUGAUUGAUUUGCAUGACCAGAGGUACUAAUAUUAUUCAUAACAAUAACUAGUAGGGUAAUGACCUGAAAAAGAAGAAUAAAUGCAUAAGGUAGAUUGGAACACUGACUUCAGACACAUGCUCCCCUAGAGCUUUGGCAAUCCUUUUUAUGGCAAGUGUGCCACAAUUCUGGUGCAAACUAUUAGGUAAUGCCAUUGCAGUCAAUACUACAAAAUGUAUUCUAUCCCAUAUAGAAUACUCAAUGCUAUAGAGCAGUUUUGCACCUGACUUACUAUGCUAGAGAGCCAUAUACAGUAGAAAACAUAGGAGCAGAGGCCAUGUUUUUAGUCCUUCUCAAUGCCAAAAUUGUCAAAAGAUUUUCUAUACUUCAUUCAUUGUGGUACUCAUGUCACAAAUUUACCAUCUAGAUAAAAGGCUAUGUCAUGUACAGCAGGCGUUAUUAUCAGAUAUUACUAGAUGCCUUGUGACAUUUGCAUGUUUAUUAUACUUCAUUCAAAUAUAAAGACUAUUUCCAUUUUUCAGGAGUUGUUUUUGCUGGUUUUGUUUUUGCUGACACUUAAAAUCAGCCAAAAGCGACCAAUGUCUCAAAAUAGUUCCCACAUAUUUUUUUCAUCAAAGGUUGAUUUCAGGGGCUGAUUAAAUUCUGCCUAACAUUGAUUCAUCUUAUAUGUAUGUGAAUUUACUUUUCAGAGGGUAAUCUUUGUAAGCUUUGCUUUCUUCAUGCCAAUCUUAUACUAUGGGUUUUCAUAUACCUGUAUAAAUGUUUCCACCCUUUUCUAAAUGCCAUCUGCACAUUUUUUGCUGCUGUUGCGAGACAAGUUGCCCCUCCAAGUGAAGGGAUUGAAUACCAUGAUCCUCUAAGGCAAAAGUGGUAUGACUGAUAAUGCUCAUCUGCAAGGGAUAUGGGCCACUUACCAUAAUACAUAGGAAAUAGACUUUCAUGUCAAGGAAAAUAUUACAAGUGAGUCAUGCAUUUCUCAGCCUUUGCUAUGUCCCUGGGAUAAACUGAAUAUUUAACGUGGGUGGUUAGCAAAAUGUUCCUGUAAGCCAGUUCACCUGAUGUACUGACAGGUUUGAUUAAUGUGAGAACGGGGAGUAGCGCUGUGUUCUCUUGGUACUCACAGGUGUCAACACAUCUCUCCGAUGUACUCCUGAGUUGCAAACAGGGAGGAUGGCACAAUACCGAUUCACUAAAUAUGUAGCCAUUUGGGGUAAAGCGGGUUUCUACUAAUCCACGUCUUGCCUAUAGAUGUCAUGCCAUCAGUGUAAGAUUACAGAAACAGACAAUGACGAAAUCGGAAAGAGUAGGAUUUUUCAUGUGAACUGUCCUACAUUUUCUUCUUCUUUUCUUGUCCUAAUGUUUUUAAGGGAAACUUGCAUGAUGAGGCUGGAAAGCAUCAGUGCAGACACCAUAACUCCUGUUGGGUUCCAUCUUUUGUCAAGCCAAGUCAAUUGGUGUGGUUCAGUACAAACUGAAGAAAGUAGUCAAGAAUAUAAAUCCCCCCAAACAAACUUUAAAUCUGAGGACUUCAACAAACUACCCACUCUUUCAAUUUCUCUGUUUAGGUAAAAUCAUUCGGCAGUGAGUUGUAGUUCCCUGGAUUAGGCCAGAACAUAUAAAUUACCAUGAUGCUUUCAAUGCCAUUGAACCCCACCCAAACUUCCGUUCCUUAGAGCUUUCAGUUUAGGUGAAACACCUCAACUACAAAAUUGAAGCCUGUCAUAUAUGCAAUAUAUAUCAACAGGUGAAGUAGCUCUACUGCCUAAACUGGAAUAUUACUUGGUGAUCUGUUCUGGCUCAGACUUCUGUCUACUAUUUGUAUUUCAUCACUUCGCCACCUCAUAAACACACACAGACACACUUUCCAACUCCUCUGUAUGUAUCAGAGUGCAUUGAGGAUAAUGAGUAGACAUGAGUCUCCUAUCUUUUAAAAACAAUCACCUUGUACAGGUAAAAAACCAGACACAUUCAGCUAACACACUGAAACACAUAACUGAAUGUUAAUGAUAUCUAAUGAUCUGCAAUUUGAAUUAAAUUCAAAUACAUUUGCAGCAAGAGAUUCCUUUACUAGUUAUGAUUUCCAAACACUCAAGCAAAAGCAAUGCCCUGCACAAUAUUCUAGAUUUCAAAAUAUUCAGAUACAAAGUUAAAUCUAGAGCUCAACUCUAGCUCUACAUUGACCUAACACUGGGCUGGAAAAUCUCUGGCUUUCCAGGUUUUCAUGAACUACUGCUUUCAUCAUCUGUCAUAAUUAGCCAGGACUAAUGGGAACUACAGUUCUAUAGCAUUUUAGAACCAAAAGUUUCCAAGCUCUGCCGUCAUCUUUGAGGAUCUAUUGUGAAAAUCUGUGAUAACUGAGUCUUUAUUUUCACAGUUUGUAAACAAGUAUAAAAAACAGCCAGCAGAACACGUAUUUGUCCAUCAAUUUUUCCUUACUUUAGUGAUAUCUAAAAGAGGGGAAGAGAGAUUUAUUAUUAUACAUGCAUUGUUUGUUUUCAUUAUGUCAGUUCUUUAAUCUAAAAAAGAAUCCAUACACUUAAAAAAAAACCAAUUACAAAACUACUGUUGCAAUUGUUGCAAUGGCAAGAUGUAUAAUUUGCCCUCUACAUCAAUGGUGGAUUGAUUGUAGGGUCCCCCGUGUAUAACAAAAACAUAGAUGCUCAAGUCCCUUAUUUAAAGGGACUCUAAUAUUUGAUUUUCUUAAACAUUUUCUUUCUGUGGCCAGUUGAAUUAAUGGAUCCAGAGCAUGUAAGUUCAGAGGGCAAAUUGCACAGGCAUCCUUCACAGUUAUGUUUUUCUCCCAGUCAGAAUCUAGGUAGGCUGAAAAUAAUUAAGAAACAAUUCCAACAUUUAAUCAGUUUUGUUUUAAGUAUCUUCUCUGCCAAACGUUAUCCUCCCUGCCAAUUAAAUGCUAAAUAAAUAUCAUAUGCCAUCCUGUUUGGAUGGUUUAUUCCUGUGAGAUAAGAUGACCUACCAACUAGAGGUGGUGGUGACAUUGUGAUCUCUUUCAGUUUCUACGUGGUUUUUACAUAAUUAACUGUCAAGCUCCACUGGCCAUCCCCCCUGCCAUAUUCCUUAAACUGAAGUGUGAAUGCCUCUCUAAAAACCCAUCGAUUUAUAGGGAUCCCAUAUGGCAAAAGAAAUAGUUGUCUCAUUUUGUAUUCAUCUGUAAAUUUCUUGAUAAAUGUGCUAAAUGAUUGACAGUCAUAAAUAAUUCAGUACCCAUACAGUGAGGUGAAUGAGAGCGACUGUGACAGGUCCAAAUGGAGCCCAUCUCUCUUUAAGAAGAGAAGCACCGUGGCUUCCGCUAGGAGUGACUUAUUGCAAAACUCUGGUAGCUUAAAAAGAAAAAUCUCCUAAAUCCUCCUCAUCUCUAAUUAUAACUUGAAUAAAUAUUUUUUAUGCUUGAUUAUGUUUGUAAUUUGAAACAUACUGACACAUUGAAUAUGCAAUAAGGAGGUAUUUACAAAUCCUCAAAACGAGAUACAGCCAACAUAUAUUAAUUCAAUUAUGCUUUUACUUCCCAGAGAGUGAAUCAGGGUUAUGUGCAUGGAUGCGCAAAUGUGUGAAAAGGAAUGCUAUGUGAAACAUGCAGUAAUUUCAGAGAAAGAGAAAAUUUGUAACCAAAGGCAUGUUUCGUGCAGAGAUUAUGCUAUUCAAAACAGACUAAAAUUCUAUUCUUAUCAAAUAGAUACAGUAUAAAGACACCAACAGUAUUAAAGCUUGAAACGAAAUAUCUGUAGUCUGCAGGAUGAUAGUGAGCAAAGUUAAAUCAGUUUGGGUUGUGACUUAGCUGCACCUUGAUUCCCACCCGUCUGGACCAGGCAGAUGCAGGUCUUGAGAUUUCCAACUAUACAGCUGUGUGAAACCAGAAUCUUUUAUAUGAUCCACAGUGGCAGAUUCUGGAUUAUUCUCAUGGAGAUCAGAAUAAUUUCCCCCUGUAUCCUAAGUAUAAUAUCUAGAAAAAGAAGUCAUCCAAGGCAAAUUUUAAAAAAGGAGUUGGGGAUGAAUAUACACCCUCAUCACAAAAAAGAGGAAAUAAAAUAAUAUAUUUAAAAUAUAAAAUUAAAUACAGUAGAGUCUUACUUAUCCAACACUAAUGGGCCGGCAGAAUGUUGGAUAAGCGAAAAUGUUGGAUAAUAAGGAGGUAUUAAGGAAAAGCCUAUUAAAUGUCAAAUUACAUUAUGAUUUUACAAAUUAAGCACCAAAACAUCAUGUUUUGCAACAAAUCGACAGAAAAAGCAGUCCAAAACACGGUACUACAUAAUUACUGUAUUUAUGAAUUUAGCACCAAAACAUAUAUAUUAAAAACAUUGACUAAAAUACAUUGGCUACUAACAAAUUGACUACAAAUAUAGAAUUGCAUAAAAUGAACUUACAGUAACAACAUUGUCACAAAUGAAAUCCAUAAAAAGUUCAAUCAUUGCUGCCUAGAGAAACAGCUGUUUGUGGGAAGCAAAUUGCAUUGGAUAAUCCAGAACAUUGGAUAAGUGAAUGUUGGAUAAGUGAGACUCUACUGUAUUAUAAAAUGAAAAGGAUAUUUUUUUUAAAGUAGCUUCAGUCCUAAAUAGUUUAGGGUUCAGGCAUCAAGACCCAGAAGCUAGACUUGGAAUAAGGAGACUAAUAGGAAUCUCAAAUCGCCUUUGGAAGCGGAGGAAAAAUCCUCCAUUCUACAACAGGUCAAAAGAAGCAAGUUAAGAACUAAAAGUUUUAAAACAAGCAAAAGAAAACAAUGAAUAUAACAAAAUAUUAAGAAAAAUGCUGUUUUUACAGAGUGCCCUCCGUCCCCUUUUUAAAAUGUUGCCUCCUUCUGAUCGGUCAUUUUUCUUUCUCCCCCAGUUAUUAACUGUAGAAUUGAUUCUAUGAGGGCUGAAUAAAAAGUAAUACCUCCACCUUCGUUACUUGGGUUUGGAUGGGAAUAUUUUAAUAAAUGCAGAAAUAAUCCUUAGAAUGUGCUCUUCAACUACCACUAUUCAAUUUUCCACAUAAUCACCAGACAAUUGGAUACUUUUCUGCCAAUGAUAAACAAGUUUUCUGAAGCCACCACGGAAGAAGUCGACCAGCGUCUCACAGUACCCAUCGUGCACAGAUCUUCCGAUAGCCAAGCAAAGCAAUAAUGUGACACACACAUUCUUGUGAAAUGCUGAUUAUGCUUGCAAUUUCUCUCUGAGUGAUAUGACAAUCAUCCUGAAUCAAUCUGUCAACCUUUUGCUUGUGAAAUUCAGUGGUUGCGGAACUUGCGGUCACAGGACAUCCAACUCUUUGUUUGUCACACAAGUCAGAUGUUCCCACUUCAACAUCUUUAAACUUCCUCGCCCAACGAUGCACAGUAUUCACAUCAACACAAUCACCAUAAACAGCUUGCAUUCUCUGAUGAAUUUCCUUUGGGGUGACACCUUCUGCAGUCAAGAAUUCAAUGACUGCACAUUGCUUAAGUCGCAUUGACCGACCGUCUGCGUGGGGUUCCAUAAUUCGUACUUUAACAACACAACCAUUCAAUGCUAAGGCUUCCCGCCAAAUGGAACUGUAGAGGAGAGUCUACUGAACAAGCCAGUACCUGCCGCAUAUCAGUACUGCCAUCUGUUGAGUUACGAAAGUGGAGGCAUUACUUUUCAUUCAACCCUCGUAGAUUGGUGCAUAACAUUGUCAGAUGAAAAACUUUUAGAAAUGAUUUUCCAUUGGUUCAGGAGGGGACAUAAUCCUACUUUCUACCCAUAUACAAGGAACCUCCUAGGCAGAAAUGCCAAUUUGGGAUUAUCCCAGGCUCUAAGAUUUCAGGCCCUAACCCUAUAGAAUGACUCCUUGUGAUGUCACAGAGGAAGAACCUGGUGUUGUCAAUAAGCAUGAGACAUUAUGCAUCAACCACAGACAAACCAUUCAAAUAAAACACUGUCAAUUGACAAUACAUGCACAUCUUUUUGUCUAAUGUGCUCUCAUCCUGAGAUGAUGAACCCUGAGAACUAAAAGUGAGGGGCCAGACUCUGACACCUGGACACCCAAUUUUAGACCCAUCAAGUAACAGUUCCUAGGGAAUUUCAAGCUUUAUAAAUCCUUCCUGUCCUGGUCUCUUGUUCCAUGGCCUGAAUUUUUUUUGUCCACAACACUUAUUUCACCGCAUCCAUUCUGGGCAUCUUAAAUGUUCUACCUGCAAAGAAAACCAGGCUUCCUUUGAAUGAAGGGUUUGCCUCCUUCUCAUUCUGUACCUUCCUGUGCCUUCUUUGUUCCUGUCACUUCAAUAUUUAAAAAGUAGGACAAUGGGGAGCCAUGUGAAUGAAAAUAGAUGAUGGACAAAGAAAAUGUUCACAGCAGGGAGAAAUGUUGGCAUAUCAAAUGAUUGGCAAGUAUGGGUCCUGUCUCCAACAAAAUAUAUUUUUUUAAAUUCCCAAUAUCUCUGUCACAUCACCUUUCUUAACAUUGUCUUCAUUCCCUUGAUAAAAUAGCUGUCCAAGGUUCCAUUAUUUUUACCUUGACACUUUGUUCCUUUGAACAGAAUCUGCCAACUCAGUUAUCUAUCUCUCAAUGCACUUUCCACCUUUUCUUUCCAGCCAAUCUAUUAUCAGUCUUCCACCUUAUAUCCCUCUUGUCCUCCAUGUGGCUUAAUACUGAUGUCUUUUUAAUAGCAACUUUAGAAUAAUAUAAUUUCAGUAUUGAAUGGGGUCCUUGAGAUCACUUAAUCAUCCGCAAUGCAGGAUAUAACUAGCUCUGCAAUGCAGAAUGCAGUUACAACUUCCAUGGACCAGUACCUGCCCAUCAUUUCUCUAAAUAGCCUCCAGGGAAAGAGGACCUCUUACCACCUAAUGUAGUGUCACACUCUCUAGUCAUUCUUUCUGUUGAGAUACUUCUUCUAACACUUAGCUUGAAUUGGCUUCCUUGUAAUUUCUACGCAUUUGUUCCUGUUCUCCCCACUGGAGAAACAGUGAAGAAUCCUUUGUUAUCUUCUGUGUCACUGUCCUUCCAGUAACUAUAGACAACUGCUGUGUUUCUCCUUGCUUUUCUCUUCUCCGAUCUACCAAACAAACCUUGUGUUCCUGAACCUUAGAGAGACGAUUCUAUAUGUGGAACAAUGACUGCGUUGUUAAAUGGUGUCUUUAUGGUAGGCAUAACCGGACUCCUUAUCACACUUGAGAGAGGUGCCCAAGGACUUUUUAAAAAGGGAAUAUCAUACUUAUUAGUAUGAUACAUUAACUCUUGAAUAUUGUAUCCUUGCAAGACUCUUCAACACCAGAGUUAGUUGCAUUGUAUGUUGAGUGUAAACCAGGCGUGGGCAAAGUUUAGCCCUCCGGGUGUUUUGGACUUCAACUCCCACAAUUCCUAACAGCCUACUGGCUGUUAGGAAUUGUGGGAGUUGAAGUCCAAAACACCCGAAGGGCCAAACUUUGCCCAUGCCUGGUGUAGACCCAUAUAAUGCAGUUCAAUGCUUAAACUGCAUUAUGUUUAUUUAUUUAUUUAUUUACAUCAUUUAUAUUCCGCCCUUCUCACCCCAAAGGGGACUCAGGGCGGAUCACAUUACACAUAUAGGCAAAUAUUCAAUGCCUUUUUAACAUAGGACAAAGACAAACAACAUAGCUCCGAGCGGGCCUCGAACUCAUGACCUCCUGGUCAGAGUGAUUGAUUGGAGUUAAUUGCAGCUGGUUUGCUCUCCCGUCUGCGCCACAGCCCCGGGCUCUACCCUGACUAUAUAAUGCAGUUCCAAACUGCAGUAUAUGUCAGUUUAGAUCCAACCUCAGAGACGGCCUAUGGUGACAUUAUUUUCACCCACAGACCCCGUUCAAUGUGUGCUCUGAGCUGUGAUUGGGUGUCCAUAGCCAGAUCUGACCAUCACCUCCUUUAUACCUGGCAGUAAGCCUGGGUUACCCCUUACCAUUAUAUCAAACUGCCCAGAUACCUGUUGGUUCAGCAGCUCACCUGUUCCAUCUGGCUGAAGAGUUGCAAUAGUGUGUCUACCAGAAGCAAAGUAAGGGCCAAGCCAGUCUUUGUAGUGCUCUGAUGUUACAGAGAGAGAACGAUUGAACAACCCCACUACAGCCACUGCUCCAUUGGGUUUCCUAAUACCUCACAUCUGCAAAACAUUCAAGCCUAUGUCUUAUAUUUAAGAGUGCCUGUGUUAUUCUCUGAGUGCCACUGAUGGUAUACAGUAUACACACACUUUCUUGUUAUGUUGCUGGAAAGAAAGCGUUAAUACUUGUAUUAUGUUUUAACUUGCUUUCCUUUGGAGGCAGGGAAUUGUCAAGUAAGUAUAAGCCAAAUGCACAGAAAACUAGUUUCUGUGAAUGUACCAUUCGGGCUGCUAAGAUUGAUUAGUGGUAAAUAUAGAGAUUUUUCUCAUCUGUAGCAUUUUAAUUUUUUAAAGACAAAGGCCUUGUUUGGGCCAUAAGCAAGUGCUCAUCGAACUUCCUUGGAGAAUUACAUGAUGUGUAAUGUGGCAUCACUUUCCCAUUUAAUAAUGUUUUAAAGUGUUAACAGACCUCAAAAAAGAUAUGUGUGUAUAUAUACAUGUAUAUGUAUAUAUGAAUACAUUGAGUAUUUGUGCAUAUAUGUGCCGUGUACAGAAAAAUAUAAAAUAUAUAUGUUUGUAUAUAUUUUCAAAUUCAAACUUGUGUUUACUAUCUAGUUAUGGCCAUAUCAUAGUGAACAUUGCCCUCUUGGAUGAAGACAGAUGUAACAUUUUAAACAAGGGUCACAGUUGAUUCUUCUCCUAUGGUCUAAGCCCAGGUUCAUAAUGUCUUUUUCAAAAAUGCAUGUCUUAAAUGUGAAAAACUAGAUGACAUUUAUUUGCUGACAUGCUGGAAACUCAUAGGUCACUCUGUCGUCCUCCACUCACCACCCACCUGCCCAUAGCUUGCUCUGGAAUUGAAGACUAUAUGUGUGAUUUUUGAGAUAAGGAAAAUGUUUUCAGAACUAUGCUACUUCACAAUAUUACAUCUGUCUUCACCUUUGCUUUGUUCAGAGACCUUGCUUUGCUUUCCUCAUAAACUUUAUUCCCCAUAAACAUCCUUAAGAGGAAGAUCGUAAACAUCAGUGCUAAAACAGAAAGAAAAACAAAAGUCAUUGAAGUGGAAGAUUUAGUACUUUCGAAAUUGCUGUUUUAAUGGCAUUUCCAAGCAUACAUCGAAAUGUUUUCAUUUGCUGCCAUAUGAGUAAUAAGAUCUGUUACUCUGAUCCAGGCAAUUAAAAAUGAUCUCCAAAAACUAGUAGAACAUAGCUGGGAGAGGAAAUACUCAUUUUGUCUUCUUUUGCCUUGAACUAUUUAAAUUGUCUUUUCCAUAAAGAAAUAUCAAAGGUAAUGAAUUUUCUCUUUCACACCUUGAUAGUUUUUCUGCAGUUUCAGACAGAUAACUAUAUUAAUCUGUUGCAGCUUAAAAAGAAAUAUGAAGAGGGUUCUAAUAGCAUCUUUAACACUAGCUAGUUGAAAUCCAUUAAAAACCCAUGCUAAAAUUAAUCAGGUGCUGUUAACUUUACCUUACCCCUUUUUCUUUUUAUAAUAACUGCCGUAUCCUCUCCUAGCCACAUUACAAAUAGGUAGAGCAGGUAUAUUGAUUUUAGAGAAGAGCAAAUGAGUCUCCCCAGCUGGAUCAAGAGUUUGCUAGGCAUGUUUUUGCUAUUUUGUCCCCUGGUUCAAAUUUUUAAUUAAGUUUUCCCUGUGAAAAUGAAUGGUGGUCAUUGACUAUAUCAGUGGUUCUCAACCAGGGGUCCCCAGAUGUUGUUGACCUUCAACUCCCAGAAAUCUUCACAGCUGGUAAACUGGCUGGGAUUUCUGGGAGUUGUAGGCCAAAACAUCUGGGGACCCCAGGUUGAGAACCACUGGACUAUAUGGAAGAAAGUAUUCAAACAUGCAACUGCUUCCCAUUUGUGUUAAUUCCUGGGUAAUUAUUUUGACCCAUAUUACCCAGAGGAAGACACUGAAUUGUAAUUCAUAUUCCUCUCCUAGUAGUUCUCUGUUACACUAGUAUUGGAAUAGAAAACGUGUCCAUGUGUUUUAGACUACAAUUGCUAUAAUUUCUUUCCAUUGGCCAUGAUGUUUGGUAUUGAUGGUAGUUGUAGACCAGAUAUCAAGAGGUUUCCUGCCUCUGCACUUGAGGAAUCUAACUUUCCCGAUUUUUAAAGUAACUUUUUACAACUCAAUAUUCAAGUACGAAUGUACAUGUUCUGAGAGGUAAGACACACUAUAUCCAGUAAGUAGAGAUUGUAUGUCUUGUCUAUUUAUGGAGACUCCAUUGAUUUUGGCAAGGAAUACUGAGAAAAGUGGUUUUGCCAGUUCCUUCCUCUGAAAUAUAUGCAUGUGGAGGUGUGCAGGGGAUUGCAGGCUUUCAGGACAAUUCUAUACUUAGAAAUACGUUCCAUUGAAUUCAGUGAGACUUAUUCCCUAGUAAGUAGGCAUAGAACUGCAACCUUAAUCAUUUCACAUACUUAACAUUUUCCAGUGUUUCCUGUCAAGGAGAGAAAAAUGUCUGAAAGCUUCAGUGUAGAGCACAUUUCAUUGAUUCCUUGGUUUUGAGAAAGGAAUCCCUUCAGGCCAGGAGAAGACACACAUCGGAGCUAGACACUCAUGCUCCGGAGGGCUGUGUCACUUGAGUUUCAGCUUCCCAAAAGGGUCUUGGCUGUGCUGUGGGAACUGCCACUUUGAGUGACUAGAAAUGCAUUUGUCAAUUCUUAUCAUGGGUUAUUUUGUAUGGGUUGGCUGCUUUGGAGCAAACUCCUUGCAGAGUGAGUUUUUUUUCUUGUUUGUUUAAAACAGCCAAAACAUUUGGGGAUUCAGUGGUGACCUACAUCGUUAUACUGAAACCUCACCCACCCCUCCUUUAAGUAAUGUAAAUGACAAUGCACAAUGACAGAAGUACAAUAAUGCUACUAAAUAGUCUUACAGGUGUAUCAUUUGGAACAGUUUAAUACAGAACUAUAGCCUGCUCACUUUGUUUCCACUAAGAAUGUGUCUACAUGACCAAAAUGAAUUGGACUUGACUGUUCAGCUGUUGUAGUAGGGGGUCCAGAUCAUGGAUAAAUGUAUUCACAGAAGAAGCACUGCAUCCAGUCAUUAAUGAGAAUCAAGGAGACAUGGGAUUUACACUGGAGUUUCAGAAGCAUGGGCAGCUGGAUCAGGCCUAAUCCACUGUCCACACCUCCAACCGAUCCUCAGCUGCAUCACUGCCAACAAGCAGUGCCUGCCAAAGACUUGCUGGUACAGUAGAGUCUCACUUAUCCAACACUCACUUAUCCAGUGUUCUGGAUUAUCCAACGCAUUUUUGUAGUCAAUGUUUUCAAUGCAUUGUGAUAUUUUGGUGCUAAAUUCGUAAAUACAGUAAUUACUACAUAGCAUUAAUGUGUAAUGAACUACAUUUUCUGUCAAAUGUGUUGUAUAAUAUGAUGUUUUUGUGCGUCAUUUGUAAAAUCAUAACCUAUUUUGAUGUUUAAUAGGCUUUUCCUUAAUCUCUCCUUAUUAUCCAACAUAUUCACUUAUAGAACGUUCUGCCGGCCCGUUUAUGUUGGAUAAGUGAGACUAUACUGUAAUUUCUUUCUGGUGAUGUCACACCAGUGUGCCCGGUCAUGUAACCAGAAUAUGAUGUGGCCAAGAAGCCUCUGGGAGGGAGCUGCUUGUUGAUAGUGACCCAGUGGCAACUUCAAUGUGCCAAAGGGCUCUGGAGACACUCCUGGACUACAUCAGAGCAGCUCUGGAGAUCAGAGUAGUCCUGAAGUUCUUCAACCCAGAUUGCACAUGUAGGUUUAGAUACAGCCCAACACAACCAUUUGAAGAAUAAGGGGUAGAAUAGGAGCACUUCACAUAUAUAUUCACAAGUACACCUAAAAGGAUGCUUAUGACAAAUAUGCAUUUGCAAACACCUGUAUUACACAGAGAUAUAUUUCAGUGAGUUAUAUUAUUUUCUGCAGCUUCUUGUUGAGUGAACAAGUCCACUCAGUAGCCAGCUCAGGUUUCCUUCUAUGUAACAUGAAAUAAUUUGAUAGUGUAAAGCUAAAAUCCAUACAUUGUUUGAGCCUGUUCUUACAGUCUGCACUUUUUGUUAUCUGGGAAGAUCUGGGCAGGGCUGUAUGGUUGACGUAGGAAGCACUGAUGAAGCUUCCUUUCUUUUCUCUUUCUCCCUGUCCUGUAGGAUCUUUAGUGCAGACUUUGCCCCAAGAUGUCAGGGUAUGACCUUUCUGAGUUUGUGGACUGGUGCACUCUUUUAAUUUCUGUUUUAGUUCUUGCAAGCAUGCUCAAACAGCAUGGCCAUGUGCCACACAGGAAUGACUGGUCAGUUCAAAAGAGGCUUGUGCAUGAAUGAAUCUAAUGGCCUGGUUCUGUUUUUCUAAACUCUACUAAGUUUCUCACUUGACUUUAUUUGCUGCUCACAAGGGGAUCAAGGCCAUCAGUAAGCAGAGCUGCUCCUCCACCUGAGAAAUUGCAAAAGAACAGCGUCAACAAAAAAAGGAAACUGGUUGAGGAGUUGGCGUUAGAUCACGUUUUUGGGUAUCGUGGAUUUGAUUGUCGCAACAACCUGC